rnacentral:tRNA from 1 species
GCAGGAGUGGUGGAAUAGGCAGACACGUACGCUUGAGGGGCGUAUGGCACAGCCGUGAGGGUUCGAAUCCCUUCUCCUGCA